CAAAAAUCAUCACUCAUUUAACAACAAAAAUUACGGAAUUUGGUGGGGGGGUUUGUAAUGCAUCCCCUAGCCCCCUACUACAAUCAGAGUAAAAAACAAUUUACACACAAAAUUUGACAAUAUAUCUAUCUAUAUCUAUAUCUAUGCUUUCUUGUGAAUAUAGGCCUUUCCCUUUUACCAGCUACAGCCAGAAUAUAAAUGGAAAUGCCAAUUAAAUUUACAAAAUAUGGAACUAAUUCCUAUAUAUAAUAAGCAAGAUGGACAGUAGAAGAAUAUCCUAUGCAGCAAGAAAUCAAUCUGUAAUCACGUUCAAGCCACGAAGAUGAUGAACACCAUCAGGAAAAAUACUAUAACAGCAAAUAACUUGAUUAAAAGCCACCUAUUUGAUGAUAUUUGGUUGAGAUGCCUCAAUAGAGCACUGCGAGCACUUUCAACGUUUGCCAAUGACUCGUCCAUAUUAUCAUCAAUCCUAAUAGCAAGCUCCCCUUGCUGUGCAACCAUUGUAGCCAAAUGUGUGAAGAUUCCACUAAGUUCUGAAAUUGUAGAUUCCACAUUAUGAAGAGCAACUGCCCGACUUUGAGUAUAGUUCUCCUGUCUUGGAAUAACCUGCUGUAACAUGGACAUUUCCAUAUGGGAAGAAGAAGUGUUGUCCACAGCUGGCCUCCGCCUCAAUUGAUUGCCAACUUGAACACCAGCUGGUGGCAUUGCAGAUGGCUGUGCAGUCCCAAAUGAAUUUGCCGAACUUGACCAAGGUGGUGGCUCAGUCACGGGUUUUGCUUGAUGCACAAAAGGAUUCUCUCUCGAAGCAUUUGAGGAAAAUAUCUGUUUCCUGUUCUCAUGAGCCUUGAUAUUCUCUGUUCUAGUAGUUAACACAUCUUGGAGCUCUUUAGUCGCCCCCAUAAGUUUGCUUUUCAAGUCAUCGCAGACAGCAGUGGAAUGAACAACUCUAUCCUGCGAAUAGUUCCCAUCAGCUAUCUCCAUGUUUUGAAGGGUUUGCAGAUCUGUGAGAGCUGUAUUCAAUGCUGUAAUGUCAUUCUUUAUCAGGGAAGUUAGUUCCUGUAUUUCAAUUGUUGGAUCAUCAAACAUUGAUGACCUUUUCGCAAGCUUGGUAAGCCUAGAGAUCUUCUGUGAGGCUUCAUGGAUGCCCAAACCGAUAAUCGAAGCCUUUUUGUUGAACUCGGAUCUUGAAGAGAGUGAUAACGCGUGUGGUUUCAAAGAAGAAGGAUCAUGUUCAUGGUUAAUGGAUAUGACUCCUUCGAUCUUCUUCAGCGUUUGGGUUAGUGAUCGGAACCCCGCCGUCCGAUCUCUGUACGUGGAGGCCAUCGGGUGAGACUUUGCGAU
rnacentral:misc_RNA from 1 species